CUGCCGGCGCGCGCCACCGCUGCCUGCCUUUUCUCCUUUGGAUGCAGGCACGCGUUCGCCAUCUUGGCCACGCUGGUUGCCAGCUCCUGACGCCAAGUGCUCUGCCCGCCUCAGCCUCCCGAGGUACUGGGACUACAGACGGAGUCUCGCUCACCCAGUGCUCGGUGUUGCCCGGGCUGGAGUGCGGUGGCGUGGUCUGGCCUCGCGGCGGCCUCUACCCCCCGGCCGCCUGCCUUGGCCUGCCAGGGUGCUGGGAUUGCAGCCCCCGCCCGGCCGCCGCCCCAUCUGGAAGGUGGGGAGCACCUCUGCCCGGCCACCCCGUCUGGGAGGUGAGGAGCACCUCUGCCCGGCCGCCCCGUCUGGGAAGUGAGGAGCGCCUCUGCCCGGCCGCCCCGUCUGGGAAGUGAGGAGCGCCUCUGCCCGGCCACCCACCGUCUGGGAAGUGAGGAGCGCCUCUGCCCGGCCACCCACCGUCUGGGAAGUGAGGAGCGCCUCUGCCCGGCCACCCUGGCUGGGAAGUGAGGAGCGCCUCUGCCCGGCCGCCCCGUCUGGGAAGUCUACCACGGAGGCCAGAAGCAAUGUGGGGGCUGGACGUGGUGGCUCACGCCUGUGGUCCCGGCACUCUGGGGGGCGAGGCGGGUUGAUCACUUUGGGCUAGGAGUUCGAGACCAGUCUGGCCAACUUGGCGAAACAUGAAGAAUACAACAGACAAACCAACCAACCAACUCAAUGACAACAAAACAGGUCUACCCCGGAGUCAUACUCUAAUUUUCUCUAUUUUCCUCCCUUUCUGAUCCUUUAUCCCACUUUCUUUUUCUUCCUCUUCCUUCUCCCUCUUCUUUGUCAAAUAGAGGAUUGAGUUAUUAUCACUGAUCCAUAUAAAGUCCCUCUCUCAUUUAUUUUAACUCCCACCCCCAUUUCUAUUCCCCGACUUCCCAUGUGCAACCUUCCUAAUAUGUUUGAUACGCAUCUUUUUGUUUGUAUGUAUUUUUAGAAAAUGUUUAUUGUUUUUGUAUGCAAAAAAAUUAAAAAAAAAAAAAAAAAAAAA